rnacentral:rRNA from 1 species
UACGGGGGGAGCAAGCGUUGUUCGGAUUUACUGGGCGUAAAGGGCGCGUAGGCGGCGUGACAAGUCACUUGUGAAAUCUCCGGGCUUAACCCGGAGCGGCCAAGUGAUAUGUCGUGCUAGAGUGCGGAAGGGGCUACUGGAAUUCUCGGUGUAGCGGUGAAAUGCGUAGAUAUCGAGAGGAACACCUGCGGCGAAGGCGGGUAGCUGGGCCGACACUGACGCUGAGGCGCGAAAGCUAGGGGAGCAAACAGG